rnacentral:lncRNA from 1 species
AAAUGGUAUUUCUAGUUAUAGGUCCCUGAGGAAUUGCCACACUGUCUUCCACAAUGGUUGAACUACUUUACAGUCUCACCAACAGUGUAAAAGCAUUCCUAUUUCUCCACAUCCUCUCCAGCACCUGUUGUUUCCUGACUUUUUAAUGAUCGCCAUUCUAACUGGUGUGAGAUGGUAUCUUAUUGUGGUUAUUGAUUUGCAUUUCUCUGAUGGCCAGUGACGAUGAGCAUUUUUCAUGUGUCUGUUGGCUGCAUAAAUGACUUCUUUUGAGAAGUGUCUGUUCAUAUCCUUCGCCCACUUGUUGAUAGGGUUGUUUUUUUCUUGUAAAUUUGUUUGAGUUCUUUGUAGAUUCUGGAUGUUAGCCCUUUGUCAGAUGAGUAGAUUGCAAAAAUUUUCUCCCAUUCUGUAGGUUGCCUGUUCACUCUGAUGGUAGUUUCUUUUGCUGUGCCAUCUUGGCAUCUUUAAUUUAGGACCAGAAAGGUUCACAGCUCAGUUUUAUUUAGCUAUGCUAAUAAGGAUCCUUAAGACCUUUAAUUUCUUGGUGUGAUGGAUUAUGUUGAUACAUUUUAGAUUAAAAAUAAUUUUUCUGGCCAGGUGCAGUGGCUUAUUCCUGUAAUCCCAGCACUUUGGGAGGCCAGGGUGGGCCUUGAGCUCGGGAGUUUGAGAGCAGCCUGGGCAACAUGGCUAAACUCUAUCUCUACAAAAAAUACAAAAAUUAGCUUGGCAUGCUGGCACAUGCCUGUAAACCUGGUUAACUCAGGUGGUUGAGACGAGAGGGUGAGGGGGAGAUAGCAAAAAAAAAAAAAAAAAGAAUUUGUUUUUCCAAAUUGCCCUUUGCAUUUUAAAAAUAAACCUUCUUUGGAUAGCUUACUGUUCUUUCAAAAAUUACCGAAUUUGUUUUUUUCAUAUUUUAUUUAGAUCUUUUUUUGUUUCAGUUGCAAGAUUUAAUAGAGCGAAAACAGAGCUCCCAUAAAAUGGGAGGGGACCCAAACGGGGUUGUCGCUCCCUGCUCAAAUGCCUGGGGUUUAUAUACCGAUCAUUGCCCCUCCCCCUGUGCUCUUCAGGCGAUAUAUGAUUUGACUAUUUCUUUACCCCCUGCUUUAGCCUAAUUUGUAUUUUAGUGAGCCCUAUUUACUACCUGAUUGGUCAGGUGUGAGCUUAGUUACAAGCCCUGUGUUUAAAGGUGAGUGCAGUCACCUUUCCCAGCUAGGCUUAGGAAUUCUUAGUUGGCCUAGGAAAUCCAGCUAGUCCUGUCUGUCAGUCCCCGCUCUCAACAGGAAAACCCAAGUGCUGUUGGGGAGGUUGGCUGACGACUGCUUUUAACUACUUCCUGCUGAAUUGGGGUAUAGUAGGGGUCGUGCAGUCGAGAUUUCCUCGGGAGGGGUGCCUUCGAUGUCAUUAACAUCGGAGCAUGGGCUAGCAGGCCGGUCCAGGGGUCUGCGGUAGAUCUUAGCCAUGGACUGCAUCUGGGGCCCCAUUUGAAGAACGAUUUGUAGUUUUAUAGCUUUGAUUCUAGAAGAGACAAACUUAACAAGGAGGUUAAAGAUACAGGAAUUGAAAUGUAUGACCUGAAGUGCAGGUGCAUAUGGGUGUGGGUGGUGAAAGUGGGGUUUCCUUUAGAAAAACUACAAUGGGGCGUCAAUAUUUCUGGGAAGCCGCAUUCUCCAUAGAAGCUCUUGGUAAAGGGAGCUACUGGUAGUACAGCGGCAAGGAGGAGGUGCAGUGAGAGUGAAAGGUUUGGUGAAGGGUUUUAAGUAACUACCAUUGGUUGGCUGCAGGCAAAAGUAUUUUUCCUUCUUUGGUGGCUAGCCAUCCUGAGGGGAGGAAACUACGUCCUCGUGAGGUUCCCCAUUCUAUUUCUUCUUCUGAGUACUGGGGCUUGGUUUCCCGGAGGGGAUUACCCCAUGCUAGGGUCCUUCUAUAAGCAUUUCUAAUGGAGGGUCCUGCCUUGCGGCUCUUUUGGCUUCAAUGUCCUCUUGGUGCUUCCCUUCUACUUCCCUUUCCUUUUCUUUCUGAUGACCCCGGCAGUUUAAGACUGCCACCUCUUUAGGUUUCUGUACAGCCAAGAAUAAUCUCCUAAUGGCUUCCUGAUGUUUGAUAGGUGUUCCUUGGAAGUUAGGAAUUCCCUUUCUCUCCAUAUUGCUGCAUGGUCAUGGAGGACUAGGUAAGCAUAUUAGAGUCUGUAUAUAUAUUUACCCUUUUUCCUUCUAGUUCUAGUGCCUGAAUGAGGUCUGUUAGUUCUGCCAGCUGAGCGCUAGUUUCAAUUUCCUUACUCAGGUAUGCCACAGGUUGCAAGCUGGUCCCUCGGACCUGUGUAAGGACUCCUAGAGCUAUUCCUGUUUUUUUCUGUUACAUGUAAAGAAAAGUCUUGGCCUGUUGGCAAGCUUAACACUGGGGCUUGGGUUAGGGCCUUCUUUAGGGCAAGCUGGGGGGACGCCGGGAUAGGGAGGUAGACUCUGAGGGCUUCCUGUAGGGCAUAAAUCACACUUUUUACAUAAUUGUGAGUUGUUUCUUAAUGAAAAGAAAGUUUGUACAUAUGGCACUUCACUCCAUUUGCCUCUUUUUUUAUACAAAA